AGCACUAUAUAUCUAAACCUGUCAAUGGGAAUUGUCCCCUUUCUUGGUCCCACUCUUGUGUGAAAGAAUUCCUGGCUCUUUCUGUCGCACAGCUGACUUCGUGCCAUUCUGCUGUUGCUGUAUAGAGUUAGGGAACAUAC
ensembl:snoRNA